ACGAACGCUGGCGGCGUGCUUAACACAUGCAAGUCGAACGGAGAUUUAGCAAUAGAAUCUUAGUGGCGAACGGGUGAGUAACGCGUAGGCAAUCUGCCUUCUAGAUGGGGACAACAUCCCGAAAGGGGUGCUAAUACCGAAUGUUGUAGUUGGUCUGCAUGGACUAGCUACUAAAGGUGGCCUCUGAAUAUGCUACCGCUAGAAGAUGAGCCUGCGUCUGAUUAGCUAGUGGAGGGGUAACGGCCACCAAGGCAACGAUCAGUAGCCGGUCUGAGAGGAUGAACGGCCACACUGGGACUGAGACACGGCCCAGACUCCUACGGGAGGCAGCAGUGGGGAAUCUUCCGCAAUGGACGAAAGUCUGACGGAGCAACGCCGCGUGAGUGAAGAAGGUUUUCGGAUCGUAAAGCUCUUUCGUUAGGGACGAACGUGCUCUUUGUGAAUAAUGAGGAGUAAUGACGGUACCUAAAUAAGAAGCCACGGCUAACUACGUGCCAGCAGCGGC
rnacentral:rRNA from 1 species